rnacentral:rRNA from 1 species
UACGGGGGGUGCGAGCGUUGUCCGGAUUCACUGGGCGUAAAGGGCGCGCAGGCGGCUGGCUCAGUCGGUCUUUUAAGAGCGGGGGCUCACCCCCCGUGUUGGGGACCGGGACGGGCGGGCUGGGGCGCGGUCGAGGGGUGCGGGAAGUGCCGGGUGUAGUGGUGAAAUGCGUAGAGAGUCCGGCGGAACACCGGUGGCCGGAGGCGGGCACCUGGCCGAGGCCGACG